rnacentral:rRNA from 1 species
GGUCGUAAAGCUCUUUCGCCAGGGAUGAUAAUGACAGUAUCUGGUAAAGAAACCCCGGCUAACUCCGUGCCAGCAGCCGCGGUAAUACGGAGGGGGUUAGCGUUGUUCGGAAUUACUGGGCGUAAAGCGCACGUAGGCGGAUUAGUAAGUUAAGGGUGAAAUCCCAGGGCUCAACCCUGGAACUGCCUCAUAAACUCCUGGUCUUGAGUUCGAGAGAGGUGAGUGGAAUUCCAAGUGUAGAGGUG